GCAAGGACGAGGGCUCCUUAAGUCUUCUCAUUCUUCAUACAGAAAUACCAGACUCCAGAUGUGAAGACCCUGGCCACCUGAUGUGGCUGGCCAGAUAGGUGUCCCCUUCUUCUCCCAUUGCAUGUGCAUCCAGAGCUUAGUAUUCGGUCACAAAAGAUGACCUUCCCUAAUGGAGAACCAUUCUUUAGUCAAGGGCAUUCUAGAAGCUUCAUGUAUCUUCUAGGAUCUCUAAACAAUCCAUCAAGAAAUGCCAAGCUCCUGUG
rnacentral:sRNA from 1 species